rnacentral:lncRNA from 1 species
GAAAAUCGACUAAUAUUGGUUCGUUUUUAAAAUGGUAAAUUUUCAAGUUACGAGAUUAGGGGCUAAAUUGCACAAAAGUUAAAAUGUUAUGGGUAAUUUUAUAAUUUCACAAUAAAGUGGGUUAUAAGCUAGAAUUAAUGAUAUUAAGUUAAUUGGAUUAUUAAUUGAAUAAAAAUUUUUAUUAGACCAAGAAACGAACCAAAUGGAUCUAAACCGAG